AUUGAACGCUGGCGGCAUGCCUUACACAUGCAAGUCGAACGGCAGCACGGGAGCAAUCCUGGUGGCGAGUGGCGAACGGGUGAGUAAUAUAUCGGAACGUGCCCAGUCGUGGGGGAUAACGUAGCGAAAGCUACGCUAAUACCGCAUACGAUCUAUGGAUGAAAGCGGGGGAUCGCAAGACCUCGCGCGAUUGGAGCGGCCGAGAUCAGAUUAGGUAGUUGGUGAGGUAAAGGCUCACCAAGCCGACGAUCUGUAGCUGGUCUGAGAGGACGACCAGCCACACUGGGACUGAGACACGGCCCAGACUCAUACGGGAGGCAGCAGUGGGGAAUUUUGGACAAUGGGCGCAAGCCUGAUCCAGCAAUGCCGCGUGCAGGAUGAAGGCCUUCGGGUUGUAAACUGCUUUUGUCCGGAACGAAACGGCGAGCUCUAAUACAGUUUGCUAAUGACGGUACCGUAAGAAUAAGCACCGGCUAACUACGUGCCAGCCGCCGCAGUAA
rnacentral:rRNA from 1 species